UAGACGGAAGCCCGUGGGUUUGGGCAUCUAGCUGUUAACUAGAAUCUUGUGGGAUCGAGGCCCACCUGUCUAG
rnacentral:tRNA from 1 species